AAGGCAUGUUGGUUUUGUGCAAUCUGUUGAGUUGGCUUUAUCAAAGGGCUUCCCCGAGGUACUUGUGCAAGCUGAAGGUCUGAAAAAAAUUCCCCUUGCGUCUGCACUGAUGUGGAUAUAUCUGCUCUGUCAACUGGCAAGGAGCAGAAAGUUUUAGCCUUUACAUAGUAAUUUCUGUGUGAUGAAAACAGAAAUGCCACUGAGAUUCUUAGCAAUGAGGCAACAUGGGUCUCUCUUCCCAAGUAAAAAGUGGUAAGAUGAGGGGAAACAGCCUCAAGUUGCUCCAGGGGAGGUCUAGAUGGGCUAUCAGGAAAGAUUUCUUCACUGACUUGGAACGGGCUGCCCAGGGAAGUGGUUGAGUCACCAUCCCUGGAGGUAUUUAAAAGAUGUGUAGAUGUGGCACUUAGGGACAUAGUUUAGUGGUGGACUUUGCAGUGCUAGGUUAACGGUUGGACUAGAUGAUCUUAAGGGCCGUUUCCAACCUAAAUGAUUCUGUGAUUCUAUGAUUAAGAAUAUCACUUACCAGUUUGAUCGUCAGUGUCAGAAACUGCAACGUAAGAAGAGAAAGUUAUUUGGUGAGAAUAAGAGAAGCUGGAAAAAAAAUUUACUCAAGCAUUAUUAUUACACAGGAGAUGAAAGCCUUGAAGGGAGAUUACUAAACCAAAACUGCUUUUUGCGGAUGCCCAUGCAGAGGUUCAAGCUGAAUCUCUGAUCAGGAUAGGUUGUUCAACUGGCAAGAAACUUUCUCUUUUACUAACUUUACAUAAUAGCUAACGCUUCACAAAGAUAAGCAACCAUCUAAAGUGAUGUCUCAAUUUUUGAGACAGCCUUGGAAUUUAGGCAGUGUUUGGCUUCCUAGAACUACACUUUCAGUAGCCCCUUGAGCCAGUUUCUUUGAUGUUACACAAUCUCACCAAUAUUGUUGAGCACAGCUGAGGCACACGCACAGGCAACAGUGAUUAAGAGAAAAGGAUAAAUUCUGACAAAAGCACAAGAUACAAUGAAAGAAGAACAUAAAACCAAAGCGGUUGUCUUAAAUCUUUUAUCAUUGUUAGAGGACAAAGCUUAGAGAUGAGUUUAAGAAAACCGCUACUUCGGACAACAUUGAGAAACAAAUCUAUCUAGGAAAUCAAAGUGUUAAAAUACAUUUCUCUUAUACUUGUAAGUUUACAAGAAAAACAUUUACAUGUCUUUUUUAACUAAUCACCUGGAAUUGCAAACUGGCACAUGAAAGUCAAGCCAGAUACAUUCUCUAUGCACCUUUAUCGCACCACUAUCCCCUCAUCAGUCAACUGUGCAGGCCCAGCAGGAGCAGGUAGUGCGCAGGAGGAACACACUUGCAAUCAAGAGGACAGAAUCAAACCACAGAUAACCACAACUGUUCAGCAGUAGGAGCCAUUGUCACUGAGCACAUGCCAGCUCUGAAUUGCCUGGCUGCUUUUUGGUGGCAUUUUCCUGCUCGCUUUGCCAGUUACCAUGAGUCAAUAGAUAAGAGCUCACCCCAGCGCUUACAGUCAUCCAUCUACUGUCACGCAUCAGCUAUUCUGUGGGUGAUGCAGCGACCAGCACAAUCUGCCACAGCUAUACAGAAUCCUGAGAUGAAGGGCACACAGUUCUCAUUUGUUGGUACUACAGGGAAGACACUCUCCAGAGCUACCAUGAUGCUCUCCUCUUAAACAAGACACACAAACCUGUGUCUCCUCCUCUGUUGGUGCUUCUGCUGCAUUCUCAACUCCUGUCACACCAACUUGGCUUGGAGGCACAUAACCAUUUGCCUAGAAGAGGAAAUAAAGCUUUCACCAACAGCAUCUCUCUGUGUGUCCAAAGGGAAAUAAACUCAAUAGUUCAGCACAACUGCAAACCCUGCCCACUGGAAGGAUGAACUGCAGCACAAGAUCUGAGUGCAGAAGACACCAAAAACCUCAGCCACCUCGCAAUCAUCUCUCAUCAGUUUCAGUUCCAAAAUUGCUUUAAACUGUGCUUGCUGUCUUGCACACGAAUUAAAGAGCAAUAAUAACCAUUUCAUCCAAUACCUACAUACAACUGUCAGCAAGUUGUCAACAUCAACACACAAGAUAGAUCUGUGCACCAAUACAGACAUGAAGUACCAAAGGAACCAGUCACAGCCAUUAUCUAGUGGCAACAGCAAGGGUGGACCAGGGCACCAGAGAAAACAUCUCAAAACAGUGAUGUUGUUCUCAGAGUGAAUGUUCAAUAUAUUCAGCACUGCCCACCAAAUUAAAUUCCACUAGUGUAGAAAGGGAAUAGCACAAAGUUGGUGACAGCAAGUCAGUUUUACACAGCAAGGCAGUGUAAAAUAACACAUCUUACUUUCCUAAUUAUUCUGUAAGGAAGUGUGAGGUCCUCAAUUCAAAAUUAAAAAACAAACCUGAGAAGAGCAUGUAUAAAAUGCAACUGAAGUAUUCUGACAUCUGUUCUAAACAGAAGCCCUCCUUGCUUUAUAAGCAGGCAUCUUUAAUGUAAAACUUUUUUGGCACAUUAUCUACUUGGAAAACCUCAUGCAACAUCUUAGUAGUUAAUCCAAAAAUAGAGAUGAAUGAGUUUGCAAAAGAAGGUUCUGGCUAGAGACUGUACCUGUUGAUGUUCCUGAGCUAGUGAACUUGAGAUGGGAUCUGCAGACACUGGAGACUCAUCAUGUGAGGUAGAAGAUGCUGUGCUGGUUGGCGGGAGAAUCACGAAGUCUUGCUGUCCAGAGGCACUAGUAUUAAAUGGAUUUGUUCUUAUCUGAUCUUCCUGGGUAAUUACAGGCUGCUGGCCAAGAAUCAGAAAUACCAGGUCCUCCUUUUCACGACACAACUCUGUGGAAAUCUCACGGAGUGCCAAAUAGUCUCGCAGAUCCUUCACCUUCAUCUUUAUCAACUCUUCCCGCUGAAAAGCUGUGGCUCGGAAACGCUGGCAUAGGUGGCAGAGAAGGGGACCACCUUCAGGCUGGGUUGAGCAGGACGUACAAAAAUUCUUCUUACAGUCCAAGCAGAUGUGCUGGUAAAGAGAAGGGAACAGAAUCAAACCGAUCCACCAUGAUCUGCAAAGGUGCACAACGGCUGCAGGCAGUGCUCCCCUACCAUCUGGAAGGCAAAGGCUCGAUUUUCAGAAGUUCCAAGCACUCACAGUCCAUGUUGACUUCUGCAGAAACUUGACUGUUCAACACUUUGGAAAGUCAAAUUCUACAUUUUCCAAUAGGAACAGCAGCAGAACAGCCGCAUUACGUGCCUUUUAAAAAGUCCUGAGGGAAGAAAGAACUGGUUUCAGUGCUGGUUAAAAAUGCUAAUUCAGUGUCUCAGAGAAGACAAGCAUCUCUAUGAAAUCCUGCAAUCCUGACCCUUCAGAGCUAUGCAAGGAAAAAUACACAUGGAGAGUUGGAGAAGCAACAAACUCAGAGACAAAAAAUUGUUUCACGAAAUGCUUCUAGGAAUUAAAGAACAUUUUUGACUUCACAGUUC